rnacentral:rRNA from 1 species
AUACGGAGGGUGCGAGCGUUAAUCGGAAUUACUGGGCGUAAAGCGCGCGUAGGCGGCUUGGCCAGUCGGAUGUGAAAGCCCCGGGCUUAACCUGGGAAUUGCACUCGAAACUGCCGAGCUAGAGUAUGGGAGAGGGAAGUGGAAUUUCCGGUGUAGCGGUGAAAUGCGUAGAUAUCGGAAGGAACACCAGUGGCGAAGGCGACUUCCUGGCCCAAUACUGACGCUCAGGUGCGAAAGCGUGGGUAGCGAACAGGAUUAGAAACCCCGGUAGUCC